GCUUCCGUAGCUCAGUUGGUUAGAGCUUCGUACUAAUACUCCAGCCUCCAAGCUAAGUGUUGGUAAUGCGAAGGUCGCAGGUUCAAGCCCUGCCGGGAGCA
rnacentral:tRNA from 1 species